AUUGAACGCUGGCGGCAGGCCUAACACAUGCAAGUCGAGCGAGCGGCGGACGGGUGAGUAAUGUCUGGGAAACUGCCUGAUGGAGGGGGAUAACUACUGGAAACGGUAGCUAAUACCGCAUACCAUCAGAUGUGCCCAGGUGGGAUUAGCAAGUGGGUGGGGUAACGGCUCACCUAGGGGACGAUCCCUAGCUGGUCUGCGAGGAUGACCAGCAACAGUGGAACGGUGACACGGUCCAGAUGCCUACGGGAGGCAGCAGUGGGGAAGAUGGCACAGUGGGCGCAAGCCUGAGGCAGCCAUGCGGCGUGUGUGAAGAAGGCCUUCGGGUUGUAAAGCACUUUCAGCGGGGAGGCGUGACCCGCAGAAGAAGCACCGGCUAACUCCGUGCCAGCAGCCGCGGUAAUAC
rnacentral:rRNA from 1 species